rnacentral:miRNA from 1 species
UACUGGCCAGCACAAUCCCGUU